GUCUUUAACAGGGGCUUGUGAUUUUACUGAUGAUACUAAACUUUCUGCAAUUUUCAAUUACACUUGCUCUCUCCAUGCUCACCUAUAAUAUGGAGGACAAGAACAUCAGUUGGACUUCAGCAUUACCUUGCCUGAAAUCAAUUUCUGAAGAUCCUUACCAUGAUUUGAUGCCUCGAACUUCGUUCUAUGAAGACAUUGAACAGCAUGGCACAGCAU
rnacentral:lncRNA from 1 species